GACGUAGGAGGCGAGCGUUGUCCGGAUUCAUUGGGCGUAAAGAGCACGCAGGCGGUUUGGCAAGUCGGACGUGAAAAUCCGGGGCUCAACCCCGGACCUGCAUCCGAAACUGCCCGACUAGAGGUAGGUAGGGGAGAUCGGAAUUCCUGGUGUAGCGGUGAAAUGCGUAGAGAUCGGAAGGAACACCAGUGGCGAAGGCGGCUACCUGGCCUAAUACUGACACUGAGGCACGAAAGUGUGGGGAGCAAACAGG
rnacentral:rRNA from 1 species